UUUUUUGAUGUUUUUUGAAUUUUUCAUGCCCCUUCCAAAAUGCGGUCAAAACAACGGGCAUGACCAUUACUAACUAAUGGUUGAAUCUUGGAAAACUUUUGGUGUUUCUCUAACUAAAUGGAUACUUAUGUACCUAAAAAUUAUUUUGGGAAAAAUAAAGAGGAAAGUAUAAUGCAACUAAAGUUCAAAUUGGACCCGUUUCAAGCUGAAUCGGCAAAAAUUUGUCUUUUUCACGACAGGUGUAUGAAAGCUUUUGACACCCAACCAUUUAGUCUAUUGUACAUUAAAUAUGACCUAAUAUUUUAGAAAAAUGAUUCGGUCCAAUUUUGCAAUAAAUAUAUGGUAGGUCCUUCACAAAAAAACUCAUUUGGCGCACUCGAAAAAUAGAAAAUGAAUUUCCCGUCCAAAGAAAAUGAAAACUUCCUUAUGCAAUAUUGUUUGUCAUUCCAAUAUGUACCCUUGUGCACAAUAUGAUAUCAUUUUAACAAAUAUGCCAUGAAUGUGGCCACAAGACUGGUCAUUUGGCUUGAAAGCCAUGAAUCUACACACAUUGUAGCUCAUUUAUGAGAGCAGUUUUUUAAAAUUAUUGCCAUAUUACAAUUUUAUUAUUUGACCUAAUAACUUUGUCACAUAUAAUGACACAAUGCGAAGGUAUUCCAUUUUUUGAAUUUUUCAUGCCCAUUGCAAAAUGCGGUCAAAAUGGCGGGUAUGACCGUUGCUAGCUAGUGGUUGAAUCUUGGAAAACUUUUGGUGUUUCUAUGAUUACAUAGAUAAUUAUGUAACUAGAAAUGAUUUUUGGAAUAAUGAAAGGGAAAUCUAUCAAGCAGUUGUAGUUAAAAUUUGACCUGCUUCCAUCUGAAUCAGAAGAACUUUGUCUUUUUCACGAGAGGUGGAUCAAAAGCUUUUGACACCAAACCAUUUGGUCAAUUGUACAUUUCAUAAGACUUAAAAUUUUCGAAAAAUGAUUUGGUACAAUUUUGCAACAAAUAUUUGGUAGGUCCUUCACAAAAAAACUUACUUUGGGCUCUCGAAAAAUGGAAAUGGAUUUUUCGUGCAAAGAAAAUGAAAAGUCCCUUUGGCAACCUUGUUUGUAAUUCCAAGAUGCAAGCUUGUCUACUCCAAGAGAUAAUUUUUGGAUUUUAUAUUGUGAAAAAGUAGAAGCAAAACAAUAGGGAAAAUACAAUUGCAUAUGCUUUAUUCUGAUAGGUGGAAUUGGUUGUGACACGGAUCAAUGACAUGGCNCCAGAUCCAGAUCUGCCACCCACCUCCCUCUCCCCUCGCCGCCGCUUCCCAUCACGACUCCCCGAUCCAAAUGCGCCACCCACCUCCCUUUCCCCUCGCCGCCGGUCUGCACCCUCCCUGUCCCCCACCUUUGUCCCCCACCUUCUCCCCCUACGCAUCUGGAAGACCACCACCACAGCCAACUUGGCAGUCGCCUUGGUGCGGCUGGGGCUCCCGAUGGUGGCGGUGGAUCCGGGGCGGAUGUCGGCCUCUUCUUCGCAAUCAGCUUCGCGUGUCAAAUUAAGAGAAGACAAUAGGGACGGAGGUCGCUAGCGAACAGGUAUGGUGGCAGCCAUGGCACACCCAGAUCCUCCAUGGUCGCUGAGGGCUUCUUCGUCCUCGGCCUCGUCCUCGGCCUCGAGUUGUUCCACCUGAGGGCAAUGCUCGUCAGGUCCGAUUUCUUCCAUCUCAUGACCGGCAUGUGGCGAUGCAGUCCGAGCGGUGCUUCCUCUAGAUGAUCGGAUUCCGGCCUUCGGAAAUCCCCAAGGUCUAGCGUGAACUUGCUACGCAAAUGCACCAUAGUAUUUUUACUUUGUCUGACAUUUGUGUGAUGAUUAAGGCGAUGUUACAUGCUGAAUCUUCCUGCCCAUUUCUUUUCAUCAGAUGCUGAUACCUCAGCUUGAUCCGUCGAUGGAGCAGCAGCUGUUGGGGAUACCUCAGUUGCAUCAGUUAACAGUUUGGUAAUGCAUAGGUCAGGCGAAGAAGCAGAUACCCACCCCUAGUUCAGUACUUUAGCUCAUUCGUUCAGGUGCUUCAGACUUGUGAAUAUCGCGACGAGGAUCUUUGACUCGGCUGUGCCAGUCCUCUUUGUCGUUUUCAAAUCCCAAAAUGUUCGUUGGUUGAAAUUUCUAGGGAAUAAUUUGAUUAUGUAGGAGCACAAUUGUUUCUGCCGUAGAUCAUGCCUCAUGUUGGAGUGAAUUCAAGUGGAUAUUUGUCUUUCCUUUAGGACUUUAAUGUACUGAAAGAAAUUUUCUUUUGGAUUAUGUAGACCACAAGUAUCCUCAUGAUGUUUUCAAUUCCCAAUAUGUGCCCUUAUUGAAAUUCGUAAGGGGUAAUUUGAUUUAUUCCAGCAGUACAAGUACAACUAUUGCUGAUGUACCUUAACAAAUCAAUUUAAGUCUCUUCUAAUGGUAUUGUUCCCAAUAUGUUUUCAAGCCCUAGAAUGUGCCUUCUUUGAAAUUCGUAGGGGAUAAUCUGAUUUAUUAUAGAACUAGUACUACAAUUGUUGCUGUUGUAGCCCAUGCCUCAUGUAGGUAUGUAUAUUCUAAUGGAUCUACCAAAAUAUAUUAGGUGUUGCAAUAAAUAUAUGGAACUAGUACUACAAUAUAUUUUGGACUUCUAAUGGUACUGUUCCCAAAAAUGAAUUUCCUGUUGUAUUUCUCGAUAACAAAGUCAGUUAACUUGAGAUUACGUGAAUUUUUUAAGAAAUCAUGAUGCUUACUCCAUUUUAUUUCUCUGAGUAUGUAGCACUGGUAACAGCUUCCUCUGUCUGUCCUGUUUUUUCUCGUGAAGACUUACAAAUGUUCAAGCAAAUGCAGGCUUUUGCCAAGGCCAGUUAUGCCAUCAUCUUCGCUCUGGUGGUCACCAUUCUGCUUCUUCCCUCCCCUGGUUCAAUAGCAGCAACAUGUAGCACUUUGGCUAAUCUACAAACUGUGUGGUUACUCUUUCACUCUGGUGCCAUAUGUCCUUGUACACUAUCUUGUUUCUCCAAAAUUUUACAACCUUGUUCUUGUUUUCGAUCGUGUAGUGUAGGUUUUCUUGAUUGUUGAUUUAGAAUGAGGAUGAAAUUAUGUGAUGAACCUUGCCAUGCCACAUUAAUGUUCCAUUAACUGAAUCAUUAGGCAUGUGUGUGUUGUUUUAGUUUCUGUAGCAUUAGUUGAGAAUUAGUGAUUUUCUCAGUACUCCCGCUUGCUCUUCUCUACUUACUCGAGUAGUAACUGCAACAGUAUUAUCUGGUUUGGUAGAUUUGUUAUUUUGGUGCUCAAAAUUUUACCUGCAUGGAUUCUGACUUAACUUAUUCUUCUAGGUAUUUUCAUUACUAUGAUCAAUUUAGUUAGAGUUGCACAUGUUAGUAUAUUAUAUACCAAAAACUCCUAGCUAGUGAGAAAAUUUUAGAUACUCCAUGUACACAUACUAGUUAGUGUUGGUCAUACUAUUUAUGUACAUGGAUUUUUUUUGCCAAUUCUUGCUUACAAGCUAUUGGAUCCAUCAUUGUCUAAUGUUUGAUGUUAUUUACACCUUAUUCUUAUUUUUUGCAAGGUGAAGUACAAAGCCAAGUGUGAAGCUAUGAAGCCUAUCAACAAAGAGUAGCAUAUGUAUUGUAAUAGUUGGGAGUAGUAGACAUAUCUGGGUUGCGGUGUAGUGUAAAGAUUGUAAAUUGUGAAGUUAUGCAGUUUCUGAACCUGUGAAGUACUGCAUUUUGUUAAACUGUGCACUUGUGAAGUUAUGCAUUUUGUGAAGUUCUGAAUUAUUUGAGUUUUGUUUGGACCAUUUUGUUUGGGCUCUAAACUUAGUUGGACUGCAAAAAUGUCGAGGCCCAAACAAGACUUUGAUUAAAAAGGCUUGGGCCUAAAAAAAGAGUUGACUGUAAAUAAAUUAGUUAAAUGGCCGCAUUUCUUAAAAUAAAAGGCCAAUGCCCAAACAAGAAUUGUACUAAAAAGGUUGUGGCCAAAACCAAGUGUGGACUAUAAAAAAUUGCCCAGUAAAAGGCUCCAUAAAAGGCCAAAUUAUUGGGCCCGGCCCAUGCAGCUAAGAAAAAUAAAGAGAAAAAAAAACAUUUAAUGGGCUGAAUUAUUGGGCUUGGCCCAUGUAGACGACCUGAAUGGUCCGGGCUGAUUCUAAUUUACGACCUUUUGUUUGGUCGUAAAUGUCUACGACUAAUCCAAAAGAAAGGUCGUUAUAGUUCAUUAGAGACGCUCAGCUUUUGACCGUCUGAUUUUGGUCGUAAAAAAGUCGCAAAUAGAAACGAACGACUAUUCGGUGACCAAUAUUGACGGUCGCAAGUUAUCAUAUUUCUUGUAGUGAUUUUGCAAAUUUUGAACUCGAAAUGUUAGUCUUAAGUUUGUGCUAAGUGGGUUUCGGUUCCACCGAGUUAAAAAUUUGCAGUCUCCAAGACUAACUAUCUGUUAAACAAAUACUUGUACACUCUUUUCGGUUCCAUUGAAAAGAGAAACUUGGGAUCACCGAGAUAGUUCAUAGAAACCCUAGACUACGAAUCGGUGACACCGAUCCGUACUAACUUCGUGACUCCAAGACACACAGAGCGUAGACCUAAACCUAAAAACUUUUGUUCAACUAAUCUAAUGGAAUUUCUCUAUGGAUAGAUGUAUUGCAAAUCGUGGCAACAUGAUGAAAUGGUCGUAUUGCGCAAGAUUUAGACUUUGGAAGUGCAAACGGGGUCGAAACCAUACCCUAACUUGGUGUUGGUUCCGCUACAACGACGAGAACGGGUGAGAUUGCAAUGGAAAGUGAAUGACUCCUGCGGCGAGGGCGCAUGGGAGAUGUUGAGCGAUUUCCAGAGACUCGAGCGCGGCAACAGAGGGGUGCGGGAGGACUAAGACAUGAAUAGAUUUUCUAUCUUGGGUCCGUGGUAUUAUAUACCCUCAUGCUGUAAGUGACACAGAUUCUAAAAUUUUGGUGCCACCGAUUUUCUUAACAGCCAGGGGCAGGGAAACUCAGUGAGUCAGAGAUUUAAAAAUCGGUGGUACCGAGGUUCGAAACCAUAUCAAACCUAGAGCUUUGGUGGGACCGAGUUUGUGGAAUGGUCACACCGAGUGGCACAUGAGAGGUUUUUGAAUUUAGCUCUUGUCGAGAUAGAACUCCAAGUGCUCCUCACACAAAGGGUCCGAAAAGUGCUUGCUCAAAUAUUGCGAUGAAGCAUGCUCCUCACACAAAGGGUCUGGGUACUUAGGCAUUCUUAUAUAUCCAAUUGGCCAAAGAAAAUGAAACGCCAAAUAACAACAAUUGGAUAUCGUCGAAUAAGAAAAAUUAUGCAUACCAACAUGCUCACACAAUAAGAUGUCAAAUGAAACAUGGAAAAAAUGCACAACCACUCUAGUAUCUGCCAAGCACUUUGGUGAUGAUGAAGUCAUCUAUCUAUGAGUAUACUGACUUAGGAGCCAAGCAAGAAUACUUGAUCAUAGGUCAUAGUUGUCGUUUAAGCACAAGUGGGUUUGCCACUUUUUCAUAAAGCUUUCAAUGUGUUCACAUAUUCAAGAUAUGCUUUGACUCAAGUCUUAGAGUAAAGCUGCCCCUUGAUGUGAUAUCCCCCCUAAGAUGGAUAAACUAACCUUGUGUUUUGUCGUAGAAGACUUCAUGUAGGUGUAGUAGUGGUGGAUGCUCAUAGUUGAUGAAGAUUAUCUUAAGUUGGGAGCAAUCCUUGUUGUUUCGUACCGUUCUCACCUACAUGGUUUAGUUCCACACAAGGAACAAAUACAAGAAUAUCUAUGGACAUUGAGUGAAGUGCAUAUGAGAUGAUGUCCAUUGAUACGUUAAUUACUGUGUCACUUGCUUACCUUUGAGGGAAUAUGCUACUCCUUGAACUAAUGCCUAGGGUUGGAGUUGAUUGCAAAUAGUACUUGCCAAAAAGAAUAAGAGAAAAUUUUGUUGGCAGAGUCACCCCUCAAGAAUUCUCUAGUUUUUCUUCUUAGGAACCCACAUAAACUUGAUGGGGAUCCUUGGAGUUUAGGUAGCGCUUGAUGAAGUCGAGCUAGUGGCGGCCUUCGGAAUUCAUUUGACCAUUGCUUCGGAUAAUUCUUCAAAUGAGUCAAUCUCCUCCUGAAGCUUCUCCUUCCUCUUGAGCUUGUGGUCUUGUGGUGGAAGGUCACCUUGAGUAUUUGUUCCCUUGGGGAGAGUAGGAUCAUACUUCUCCUUUUGAGGAACAAACUACAGAAUGGGGUAUUGACCUUCUUCCAAUUCAACUACAUUGGAAUUGAAGUAGCCAAUGGCUUGUUUCUUUCGAUGUCCUUUUUGCUUGAGUAUAAUAUCCUCGAAUUACUUACUUCUAGAAAGAAUGUUGAAGACACCUCUCUCUCUAAUUCCUUUCAAUAAAUUGUUUUGUUGCUCAAGUGUCAGUUGGAUAAGAGAAUCAUUAGUGGAAUCAAUAAAGCUACUAGUAACUGUUGGGGAACGAUGCAUGGGAAACAAACAUUUCUACGCACAUGAAGACCUGUCAUGGUGAUGUUCAUCUACGAGAGGGAGAUCGGAUCCACAUACCCUUGUAGAUCGCUAAGCGGUAAGUGUUAAGAAACACGGUUGAUGUAGUGGUACAGAUUUGUGAUUCAAAUCACCGUCGUUCCGCGUUCCGUUCCGAUCUAGCGCCAAACGGACGGCACCUCCGCGUUCAGCACAUGUAAAGCACGAUGACGAUCUCCGCCUUCUUCAUCCAGCAAGAGAGACGGGGAAGUAGAUGAGUUCUCCGGUAGCGUGACGGCGUGCCGGUGAUGGUGAUGAUCUAUUCCUGCAGGGCUCCGCCCGAGCUCCGCAGAAAACUGAUCUAGAGGAAGAACUGCGAAGUAGAGGUUUGAGUUGCACGUGGCAAAGUUGUGUUUCAAAAACCCUAAAACCUCUAAUAUAUAUAGGAGGAGUGGAGGGGCUAGCCUUGGGGCUCAAGUGAUCCCCAAGGGCACCGGCCGAGAGAGGAGAGGAGGACUCCAACUCCAAUUCGGUUUGCGGAAGGAGGAGGAGUCCUCUUCCUUCCCACUUCCUCUUUUUUUUUUGGUUUUUUCGUAGCGCCAUAGCCCACUUGGACUGGCCUCACGAGCCCACUAAGGGCUGGUGCGGCACCCUUGGGCUCUUAGGCUCACUGCCGGGUGGGUGUGCCCCUCCCGGUGAAAACCCGGAACCCAUUCGUCACUCCCGGUACACUGUCGGUAAUGCCAGAAAUCUUUCCUGAGACCAAAUGAAACCAUGCUAUAUAUCUAUAUUCGUUUCUGGACCAUUCCGGAAACCCUCAUGAUGUCCGUGAUCUCAUCCGGGACUCGGAACAACCUUCGGUCACCAACACCUAUAACUCAAUUAUACCGAAACGUCAUCGAACCUUAAGUGUGCAGACCAUGCGGGUUCGAGAACUAUGCAGACAUGACCUGAGACACUCCUCGGUCAAUAUCCAAUAGCGGGACCUGGAUGUCCAUAUUGGAUCCUACAUAUUCUACGAAGAUCUUAUCAGUUGAACCUCUGUGCCAAGGAUUCAUAUAAUCUCGUAUGACAUUCCCGUUGUCCUUCGGUAUGUUACUUGCCCGAGAUUUGAUCAUCGGUAUCCCUAUACCUAUGUCAAUCUCGUUACCGGCAGGUAUCUUUACUCAUGUCGUAAUACAAGAUCGCAUGACUAACACUUGAGUCACAUUGCUUGCACGGCUUGUAUGUGAUGUUGUAUUACCGAGUGGGCCCCUAGAUACCUCUCUGUCACACGAAGUGACAAAUCCCAGUCUUGAUCCAUGCUAACUCAACGGACACCUUCGGAAAUACCUGUAGAGCACCUUUAUAGUCACCCUGUAACGUUGCGACGUUUGAUACAUACAAGGUAUUCCUCCGGUGUCAGUGAGUUACAUGAUCUCAUGGUCAUCGGAAUGAAUACUUGACACGCAGAAAACAAUAGCAACAAAAUAACACGAUCACAUGCGAUGUUUAUAAUUUGGGUCUUGUCCAUCACAUCAUUCUCCUAGUGAUGUGAUCCAGUAAUCAAGUGACAGCACUUGCAUAUGGUGAGAAAACAUUAACCAUCCUGGAUCAGCUGGCUAGUCUACUAGAGGCUUACUAGGGACAUUGUUUUGUCUUUAUAUCCACACAUGUAUCUAUGCUUUCAUUCAAUACAAUUAUAGCAUGGAUAAUAAACGUUUAUCUUGAAACAAGAAAUAUAAUAAUAACUAUUUUAUCAUUGCCUUUAGGGCAUAUUUUCAACAGUCUCCCACUUGCACUAGAGUCAAUAAUGUAGUCUCACAUCGCUAUGCGAUUUACAUUGGAAUGAAUCUAACACCCAUAAAGUUCUUGUGUUCAUCAUGCUUUUCUCGUGGAAGAAGUUUAGUCAGCGGAUCUGCAACAUUCAGAUUCGUGUGCACUUUGCAAAUAUUUACGUCCUCUCCUUCGACGUAGUCGCGGAUGAGGUUGAAGCGUCGUUUGAUGUGUCUGGUCUUCUUGUGAAACCUUGGUUCCUUUGCUAGAGCAAUGGCACCAGAGUUAUAACAAAAGAGAGUUAUUGGAUUUAGUGCACUCAGUACAACUCCAAGAUCCGUCAUGAACUGUUUCAUCCAUACACCCUCCUUAGCUGCCUCCGAGGCAGCUAUGUACUCCGCGUCACAUGUAGAAUCUGCUAUGACGCUUUGCUUGGAACUACACCAUCUUACCGCACCCCCAUUAAGAAUAAGUACGUAUCCGGUUUGAGACUUAGAGUCAUCCGGAUCAUUGUCAAAGCUUGCAUCGACGUAACCCUUUACGACGAGCUCUUCAUCACCUCCAUAAACGAGAAACAUUUCCUUAGUCCUUUUCAGGUACUUCAGAAUAUUCUUGACCGCCGUCUAGUGAUCCACUCGUGGAUUACUUUGAAACCUGCCUGCGAUACUUAUGGCCAGGCUGACGUCCGGUCUUGUGCACAACAUUGCAUACAUGAUAGACCCUAUGGUUGAAGCAUAGGGGACGGUACUCAUCUUUUCUCUAUUUCCGCAGUUACUGGACACUGAGUCUUACUCAAUUUUUUACCUUGUAACACUGGCAAGAACCCCUUCUUGGACUGCACCAUUUUGAACUUCUUCAAAACUUUAUGAAGGUAUGUGCUUUGUGAAAGUCCUAUUAGGCGUCUCGAUCUAUCCCUAUAGAACUUAAUGCCUAAUAUGUAAGCAGCUUCUCCUAGGUCUUUCAUUAAAAACAUUUGUUCAAGUAAUCUUUUAUGCUCUUUAAAACUCCACAUUGUUUCCAAUUAGCAAUAUGUCAUCCACAUAUAAUAUUAGAAAUGCUACAGAGCUCCCACUCACUUUCUUGUAAAUACAAUAUUCUCCAACAACUUGUAUAAACCCAAAUGCUUUGAUCACCUCAUCAAAACGCUUAUUCCAACUCCGAGAUGCUUGCACCAGUCCAUAAAUGGAUCGUUGGAGCUUGCAUACUUUUAUAGCAUUCUUCGGAUCGACAAAACCUUCGGGUUGCAUCAUAUACAACUCUUCCUUAAGAAAACCAUUAAGGAACGUCAUUUUGUCAUCCAUCUGCCACAUUUCAUAAUCGAAAAGUGCAACUAUUGCUGACAUGAUUCGGACGGAAUUGAGCAUGGCUACCGGUGAGAAUGUUUCAUCGUAGUCAACUCCUUGAACUUGUGAAAAACCCUUUGCCACAAGUCAAGCUUAAUAAACGGUCACGUUAUCGUCCGCGUCUGUCUUCUUCUUAAAGAUCCAUUUGUUCUGAAUAGCGUUGCGACCUUCGGGGAAUACUUCCAAAGUCCACACUUUGUUUUCAUACAUAGAUCCUAUCUCGGACUUCAUGGCCUCUAACCAUUUGUUGGAAUCCGGGCCCACCAUUGCUUCUUCAUAAUUCACAGGUUCAUUGUUGUCUAACAACAUGAUAGAUAAAACAGGAUUACCAUACCACUCAGGAGUAGUACGUGAUCUUGUUGACCUGCGAGGUCGGAUAGUAACUUGAUCUGAAGCUUCGUGAUCAUCAUCAUUAGCUUCCUCCUCAACCGGUGUUGCCUCGAUAGAGAUUUCUCUCUACCCUGCGCCACCAUCUAGAGGGAGCAGAGGUUCCACAACCUCAUCAAGUUCUAUCUUCCUCCCACUCAAUUUUUUCGAGAGAAACUCCUUCUCAGGAAAAGCUCUGUUCUUAGCAACGAACACUUUGCCCUCGGAUCUGAGAUAGAAGGUGUACCCAACCAUCUCUUUUGGGUAACCUAUGAAGAUGCACUUUUCCGCUUUGGGUUCCAGUUUUUCGGGCUAAAGCUUUUUGACAUAAGCAUCACAUUCCCAAACUUUAAGAAACGACAACUUUGGCCUCUUGCCAUGCCAUAGCUCAUAUGGUGUCGUCUCAACGGAUUUUGAUGGUGCCCUAUUUAAAGUGAAUGUGGCUGUGUCUAAUGCAUAACCCCAAAACGAUAAUGGCAAAUCGGUAGAGACAUCAUAGAUCGCACCAUAUCUAACAAAGUACGAUUACGAUGUUCGGACACACCAUUACGCUGUGGUGUUCUAGGCGGUGUCAACUGUGAAACGAUUCCACAUUGUCUUCAGUGAGCAUCAAACUCGAAACUCAGAUAUUCACCCCCUCAAUCAGAUCAUCGGAACUUGACCUUCUUGUUACAAUGAUUUUGAACUUCACUCUGAAAUUGCUUGAACUUUUCAAAUGUUUCAGACUUGUGCUUUAUCAAGUAGAUAUAUCCUUACCUACUUAAAUCAUCAGUGAAGGUGAGAAAAUAAUGAUAUCUGUUGUGCACCUCCACACUCAUUGGACCGCACACAUCAGUAUGUAUGACCUCCAACAAGUCACUUGAACGCUCCAUUGUUCCAGAGAACGGAGUCUUAGUCAUCUUGCCCAUGAGGCAUGGUUUGCACGUGUCAAGUGAUUCAAAAUCAAGUGACUCCAAAAGCCCAUCAGUAUGGAGUUUCUUCAUGCGCUUUACUCAAUAUGACCUAAUCGGCAAUGCCACAAAAGAUGGCACUAUCAUUAUUAACUCUACAUAUUUUGGUCUCAAUGUUAUGUAUAUGUGUGUCAUCACAAUCAAGAUUCAAUAUGAACAAACCCCUCACAUUGGGUGCAUGACUCACAAAAAUAGAGCAACCAUUAUUCUCUGACUUAAAUGAGUAACCUUCUCGCAAUAAACAAGAUUCGUAUAUAAUGUUCAUGCUUAACAAAGGCACUAAAUAACAAUUAUUUAAGUUCAUAAAUAAUCCUGAUGGUAACGGAAGUGAGACUGUGCCGACGGCGAUUGCAUCAGCCUUGGAACCAUUUCCCAUGCACAUCGGCACUUCAUCCUUCGCCAGCCUUCGUUUAUUCCGUAGUCCCUACAUCGAGUUGCAAAUAUGAGCAACAUAACCAGUAUCAAAUACCCAGGCACUACUACGAGAGUUGGUUAGAUACACAUCAAUAACAUGUAUAUCACAUAUAACUGGUUUGGCGUUGGCCGCCUUCUUAUCAGCCAAAUACUUGGGGCAGUUGCGCUUCGAGUGACCCAUCCCCUUGCAAUAAUAGCACUCUGUUUUCGGCUUAGGUCCAGCCAUGGGUGUCUUCGUCGGAUUGGCAAAAGUUUUUCCGCUCUUCUUGCAGUUACCCUUCUUGCGUUUGCGGUUUCCCUUGAAACCAGUCGUAUUAUUGACUGUCAACACUUGAUGCUCUUUCUGGAGUUCUGACUUUGCGACUUUCAGCAUCGUGAAUAACUCGCUGGGUGACUUGUUCAUCCCUUGCAUGUUAUAGUUCAACACAAAGCUCUUGUAGCUAGGUGGCAGUGAUUGAAGAAUUCUGUUAGUGAUAGCAUCUUGCGGGAGUUCAAUCCCCAGCUCAGCUAGACGGUUUGAGUACCCAGACAUUUUGAGCACAUGUUCACUGACAAACGAAUUCUCAUCCAUCUUGCAAGCAUAGAAUUUAUCACAGGUCUCAUACCUCUCGAUCCGGGCAUUCUUCUGAAAGAUAAACUUCAACUCUUGGAACAUCUCAUAUGCUCCAUGACGUUCAAAGCGUCGUUGAAGUCCCGAUUCCAAGCCAUACAAGACUGCACAUUGAACUACUGAGUAGUCCUCCUUACGUGAUUGCCAAGAGUUCAAAACAUCUUGGUCAGACGUAGCGGGUGGUUCAUCUCCUAGUGCAGCAUCAAGGACAUAAUUCUUUUUCCCAGCUUGUAGGAUGACCCUAAGAUUACGAGCUCAGUCUACAAAGUUGCUACCAUCAUCUUUCAGCUUAGCUUUCUCUAGGAACGUAUUGAAAUUCACGGUUGCUACUACGUGAGCCAUUGAUCUACAACAUAAAAUAUUGCAAAGUGGAAUUAGACUAUGUUCAACACAAUUAGAGUUUUAACUAAUCAAAUUACUAAUAAACUCCCACUCAAAUAGACAUCCCUCUAGUUACUUGAGUGUGGCAUGAUCCAAAUUUAAUAGUUCAAAUCCGAUCAUCACGUGAGUUGAGUGUAAUUUCAGUGGUAAACAUCUCUAUGCUAAUCAUAUCAACUAUACGAUUCAUGCUCGACCUUUCGGUCCCUUGUGUUCCGAGGCCAUGUCUGCACAUGCUAGGCUCGUGAAGUUUUAACCCGAGUGUUUCGCGUGUGCAACUGUUUUGCACCCGUUUUAUGUGAAAGUUGAGUCUAUCACACCCGAUCAUCAUGUGGUGUCUCGAAACGACGAACUGUUGCAACGGUGCACAGUCGGGGAGAACAAAAUUGUAUCUUGAAAUUUAGUGAGGGAUCACCUUAUAGUGUUAUCGUCGUUCUAAGCAAGAUAAGGUGCAUAAAAGGAUUAACAUCACAUGCAAUUAAUAAGUGACAUGAUAUGGACAUGAUCCUGUGCUUCUUGAUCUCCAUCACCAAAGCACCGGCAUGAUCUUCAUCGUCACCCAUGCCACACCAUGAUCUCCAUCAUCGUGCCGCCAUCGAGGUUAUCGUGCUAUCUAUGCUAUUACUACUAAAGCUACAACCUAGCAAUAUAGUAAACGCAUCUGCAAACACAAACGUUAGUUUGAAGACAACCCUAUGGCUCCUGCUAGUUGCCGUAGCAUCAACGUGCAAGUCGAUAUUAACUAUUACAACAUGAUCAUCUCAUACAUACAAUAUAUCACAUCAUGUCUUUGGCCAUAUCACAUCACAAGCAUACCCUGCAAAAACAAGUUAGACAUCCUCUAAUUUGUUGUUACAUGUUUUACGUGGAUGCUAUGGGUAUCUAGUAUGAUCGCAUCUUACUUACGCAAAAACCACGACAGAGAUGUGUAGAUUGCUAUUUAACCUCUCUCCAAGGACCACCUUGGUCAAAUCCAAUUCAACUUAAGUUGAAGAAAAAGGCACCCGCGAGUCAUCUUUAUGCAACGAGUUGCAUGUUUGUCGAUGAAACCGGUCUCUCGUAAACGUACGAGUAAUGUUGGUCCGGGCCGCUUCAAUCCAACAAUAUCGCCGAAUCGAGAAAAGACUAAGGAGGGCAGCAAAUCGAACAUCAACGCCCACAAAAACUUUUGUGUUCUAUUCGAGAUUACAUCUACGCAUGAACCUAGCUCAUGAUGCCACUGUUGGGGAACAUUGCAUGGGAAACAAAAAAAUUCCUACGCACACGAAGACCUAUCAUGGUGAUGUUCAUCUAAGAGAGGGAGAUUGGAUCCACAUACCCUUGUAGAUCGCUACCGGGAAGCGUUGAGAAACGCGGUCGAUGUAGUGGUACAACUUCGUGAUUCAAAUCACCGUCGUCCCACGAUCCGUUCCGUUCUAGCGCCGAACGAAGGGCACCUCCACGUUCCGCACACAUCCAGCUCGAUGACGAUCUCUGCCUUCUUGAUCCAGAAAGAGAGACAGGGAAGUAGAUGAGUUCUCCGGCAGUGUGACAGCAUGCCGGUGAUGGUGAUGAUCUAUUCUUGCAAGGCUCCGCCCGAGCUUCGCACAAAAGUGAUCUAGGGGAAGAACUACGAAGUAGAGGUUUGAGUUGCACGUGGCAAAGUUGUCUCUCAAAAAUCCUAAAACCUCUAGUAUAUAUAGGAGGAGGGGAGGGGUUGCCUUGGGGCUCAAGGGAGCCCCAAGGGCGCCGGCUGAGAGAGGAGAGGAGGACUCAAACUCCAAUUCGGUUUGUGGAAGGAGGAGUCCUCCUCUUUCUUCCCACCUCCCUCUUUUUUUUCUUUGCUUUUAUUUUUCCUAGCGUCAUAGCCCACUUGGGCUGGCCUCACCAGCCCACUAAGGGCUGGUGCGCUACCCUUGGGAUCUUAGGCUCACUCCCGGGUGGGUGGCCCCCUCCCGAUGAAAACCCGGAACCCAUUCGUCACUCCCGGUACACUGCCGCUAAUGCCCGAAAUCUUUCCGGAGACCAAAUGAAACCAUCCUAUAUAUCAAUCUUCGUUUCCAAACCAUUCCAGAAAGCCUCAAGACUUACGUGAUCUCAUCUGGGGGGGGGGGGGGGGGUACCAACUCCUAGAACUCAAUUAUACAGAAACAUCACCAAACCUUAAGUGUGUGCAGACCCUGCGGGUUCGAGAACUAUGCAAACAUGACCAGAGACACUCCCCGGUCAAUAUCCAAUAGCGGGACCUGGAUUUCCAUAUUGGUUCCUACAUAUUCUACGAAGAUCUUAUCAGUUGAACCUCUAUGCCAAGGAUUCAUAUAAUCCCGUAUAACAUUCCCUUUGUCCUUGGGUAUGUUACUUGCCCGAGAUUUGAUCGUCGGUAUCCCUAUACCUAUUUCAAUCUCGUUACCGGCAAGUAUCUUUACUCAUUCCGUAACACAAGAUACCGUGACUAAUACUUGAGUCACAUUGAUUGCAAGGCUUGUAUGUGAUGUUGUAUUACCGAGUGGGCCCCGAGAUACCUCUCCGUCACACAGAGUGACAAAUCCCAGUCUUGAUCCAUGCUAACUCAACGAACACCUCUGGAGAUACCUGUAGAGCACCUUUAUAGUCAUCCAGUAAUGUUGUGACGUUUGAUACACACAAGGUAUUCCUCCGGUGUCAGUGAGUUACAUGAUCUCAUGGUCAUAGGAAUGAAUACUUGACACGCAGAAAACAAUAGCAACAAAAUAACACGAUCACAUGCUACGUUUAUAAUUUGGGACUUGUCCAUCACAUCAUUCUCCUAAUGAUGUGAUUCAAUUAUCAAGUGACAACACUUGCAUAUGGUCAGAAAACCUUAACCAUCCUUCAUCAACUGGCUAGUCAACUAGAGGCUUACUUGGGACAUUGUUUUGUCUAUAUAUCCACACAUGUAUCUAUGCUUUCAUUCAAUACAAUUAUAGCAUGGAUAAUAAACGUUCUUGAAAUAGGAAAUAUAAUAAUAACUAUUUUAUCAUUGCCUCUAGGGCAUAUUUCCAACAGUAACAACAUCAUUUGAUUUGGAAUUUGUGUUGUUGUUACUAGAUGAAUAAACUUUCUUGCCUUUGUUACUAGCUUGAUUAGAUUUAAAUUGUGUAACAAAAGUAGACAAGAGUAAUCAUUUGGCUAGAUAAGAGGAACUCUUGUUUCGAAUAUCACUAUUAAUUGCUUUAAGAAACUCAUGCUCUUGCUCUAAAUUUAGCUUCUUGAUGCGUAGCUUCUCAUGAAUGCUUGCAAUCUCUCUAUGAUCUUUGAGAGUAGAUUCAUGGCCUAACUUAAGAGUGUUUAAGUCUUUAGUUAGAUGCUCAAUGUCCUUGUUAUCAUCAUCACAUGACUUAUCUUGACUAACAUAAUUAUAAUCAAGUUCAUUUUCAUUGAUAUCACUAGUUUUAUCAAAGAGCAAGUCAUCAUCUCCAAGUAAGUCAUCCUCAUCACUAUUAAAGUCAAAGUACUCGGGGUGUGAUACCUUGGGGCCUUUAGCCAAGAAGCAGUUUUGUAAGUGCAUCUAGUGCCCCUUAGUGAUUUGGUGGUUUGAAUACUUAUAGGUUAAGAGAAUAAUAUAUUUGUGAGUGUACACAUGCUCUAUAAGUCCCUAAGGAGUUUGAGUUAUAUGAUGAAUAUCGACCCAUAAAAAUGAAUGUCUUCGGCUGAAGACUUUUGGUCUUACCUUGAAGAAUUUGAUCACGAAGAAAUUGCGAUGAAAUUGAUAUUUCACAUGAAGAUAUUGAAGAUGAGGAAUUCGGUGUGUCUUGAAGAAAACAGUUUGAAGACUUUGAAGCGUGAAGAUUUACACUUUUUGUUUCAUUUUCUUCACUAUUGAGUAAUAGGAACAUAGUAUUCUUAAAGGGGGUCGAGGUGAAACUACGGAAUGAUUUUCCUCAUGAUGCGCAACCUAAUCCUAAACCUACCAAAGCCUCAUAAUGAGGAAUAUGAGAGACAUGAGGACUUUCAUAGUUGAAAGUUCUGACCGUUGCCGCGACACGCGCCACCUCACGGAACAGUCACAUUACAUAAGGGCAUUUAUGUCAAAUCAUGUUGGGAUGCUCCGAGGCUAUAAAUAACCCCACCCCCCUCAACCACUUGCUGGUUGGCUGCUACGAGAGAAACUGACACUUGUCAUUUAGAGCAACCCAAAUUCCUCAGAGUCCUCGAGAGAAAAUCAUCAAGUGAGGAAAUACCCUAAACACCAAACCACAAACCAAUAAAAAAGUGAUUGAGCAUCACUGAAGAAAUUGUUCAUGUGUGGAACUGAAGUCUGUUACCUUUGAGGACUGUGCAUCCUCCAGACGGUUAGGCGUUAUGGUCUAGAGCAUCCAGCCGUCAAUUGUGGAUCGUCGGGUGACCGAGUUUGUGAGGGUUUGGAAGUAUGCCAUGAAGACUUACGACGAGUGUUUGGCGAUGACUGUGUGUCCUUAGCUCAAGGAGAAUACGGUAGGGACUAUGUGUCCCUGGACUGUGUGUCCUUUGGUUUCAAUACCAAGCCGCUCUAAACCAGACGUACAAUUGUCACAGCAGUUGGAACUGGGUCAUCAACAACUGUCUCCAUCGUGAUAGGUGUUCUAUUUCUUCAACUCUUUCAUUUUCUAAAAUUGUAUGUUGAAGACUAUGAUAUGCACUGUGUGAAGAAUUUGUCUAAAGACUUUCUGUGAAUUUCCUCAACCUCAAAUUCUUCACUUAAGAUAAUCUUCACCUACUUACUCUGUACUUGCGAACUAGGCAAACCGAAUCUCAUAAUCCUCAACAAGUAAUCUGCUAUUGAAGUUUUUGCACACCUGAUCAUGUACUACUUCUGCUGCACUUAAUUCAUUAUUGAGGACAUUCCUCACAAGGAAUUUCCUCAGCGAUGAAAUUAUAAAAAUCGCCUAUUCACCCCCCUCUAGUCGAUAUAACGCACUUUCAAUUGGUAUUAGAGCAAGGUACUCCCUUGUUCUGUGUGAUUUUGGUUUAACCACGUGUAGUUUUAGUUAUGCCAACCGCAUGUAUGAUCAAAGUUACUGCAGGAAGUCCUACCUUUGAAAGAAAGGAUUUUCCCUACUGGAAGACAAAGAUGCAGAUGCAUCUUCAGGCUAUUGACAAUGAUCUCUGGUAUAUUGUGGUAAAUGGUAUUCUCUCCGUUGCUGCUACUGUCUCUACCGCUGAUGUGAAUAAAUUCAAGCAACUUCACUCUCAAGUGAAGAAUAUCAUCUGCGGCCAUCUGAGCAAAGGUCAGUAUGGCAGAGUGAGUGAUUUGAGCACAACGAAGCAUAUCUAGGAUAGGUUGUCCAAAGUCAAUGAAGGAAUCUCAACUCAGCGUGACUCUCGUGUUGAUGUUCUUCGCAAUAUCUUCAAUCACUUCAAGAGGCUUGACAAUGAAAGUUGCCAAGAUAUCUUUAAUCGCCUCACUGACAUCCCAAAUGAACUACAAGCACUGGGAGCUCGAGACAUCACUGACCAUGAAUUGUGAAGAAACUGCUAAGAUCUCUUGAUCCAUCUUUUGAUACACUAGUUCUAAUGAUUCAAGAACGAGGAGACUAUAAGAUGCUUGAUCCUACUGAUAUACUUGAAAGACUCAAUACUCAUGAAUUCUAACAGGAAGAAAAGAGAGAUCUGUAUGGACCAAGCUACUCAAGACCUCGUGCGCUGAAGGCUAAAUAAAUUUCCUCAUGUGAACAAGAAGACUCAAAUUGCAGCAUUGGUGACCCUGAAGAACUUGGACAAGAGGUUUCUAUGCUUGUGAGGAAAUUCCAGAAGUUCACAUAGCGUGGCCAGUUUGGGAAAUCUUCAAGAAGAGAUAUGAGGAAAUCAGAAUCUUCAUCUCAGGAUUACAAGAAAAGAACCUGUAAGAAAUCUGGCCACUACAUAGCUGAUUGUCCUUGCUUGGUGAAUGAAUCAAAGAAGAAGAAAUAUAAGGAUGAAAGAUCUGAUGACUCGAAGAAAAAGAAGAAAUCUUCAAAAUCCUCAUCCUCAAACUCCUCAUCGCACAAGAACACCAGUUUCAGAAAGUCUUGGGCACUCAUUGGGAAGGAAAUGGAUUCUGAGGAAGAAUCUGAGGAAUUUGAUGAAGAGAAAGGUUCUGAAGAAGAUUCAAAGUAUGGUGUGGCAAGUCUUGCACUGGCUACCACAUUCGUCAACAAGUCAAUUUUCAUCCUUGAAGAAAAUGACAACGCUAUCUACACUGAUGAAUAUGCUGAUGACUUUGCUCCAACCUAUUGCUUCAUGGAAAAAGGUUCAAAGGUACACAAUGAUACUUCCUCCUCUGACUCCAGUGACUAUGAACCUCAUGAUUAUAAAAAACCCAGUUACAGUAAACUUGCCAACAUUGCGACUAACCAACAAAGUGCCAUUGAAAAGCUUCAGAAACUGCUAGACAGAAGCGAUGAUCUGUUGAAUAAUGAAAUGAAUCGUACUCAAGUUUUUACUGAAGAUGUGAAAAGUCUUCAGUCUAGAUUUGAUAGUCUUCAAGAUAGUUAUGGCACACUCUUGGCUAAUCAAGAAAAACUUUCCUAUGAUUUUUUUCAAUGGAAACUUGAUCUUGAGAAGUUGAAGAUGUCUCAUGAUGAUCUUCGAAUGGAAAAUGAUUCAUUAGUUGCUCAAUAGAUCAGUGUCGCUCAGGUUUAAUUCAUUCCACCAUGUUUGAAAUGCAUAGAACAUGAAACUGCUAAUUCUUCACCAGAAUCAUCAAAUGCUUCUAUCGCUACAAAUACUUCAACUGUCCCUGUGGUAUCAAGUUCUUCACUUGAAGAAACCACAAAUGCUACUUACGAACAUGCAGGGCCGAAGGAAUUGUAUGUGACAGACAUAUACAAAAGUCCCAAAGGGCAUCAAACCCUUUACGACGUGUCAAAAAGAAGAUUUUGAACAGGAACCCGAGGAAAGAAGGAAUUGCCUUCGAGAUGAAAUUGAAUGAAGAUGGAUCAUACUAGAAACCUAGGCAGUACCUGCUACUGCAACAAAAGACCUUCCAAUGGCGCCAGAAACACGUGCUGAGAGGAGACUGUUCUUAUCCGGAUUCUCCUCAGCAGCGGCACCAGGAAUCCUUCUGCUACGGCUACGCCUUUAGGGAUUUCCAAGGCAAAUAUGCAAAGGAUUUCCCUGUGGCCUUGGAGUCUUGCGUUGGUGUUCCCUCAAAGCGGAAAGGGUGAUGUAGCGCAACGGUGGUAAGUAUUUCCCUCAGUUUUGAGAACCAAGGUAUCGAUCCAGUGAAGGAGUAUCACAAGUGCCUGCACAAACACAAAGAACCUCCUCCCAAUGCUAUGAAGGGGUUGUCAAUCCCUUACAGAUUGUUCGCAAAGUGAGAACUGAAAUCAACAAAGUAAAAAAGCAAAGUAAAAGCGGAGAUGUAAACGAUAGAUGUGAAUAGACCCGGGGCCAUAGUGUUUACUAGUGGCUUCUCUCAUGAAAGCAAGUAGACGGUGGGUGAACAAAUUACUGUCGAGCAAUUGAUAGAACCGCGCAAAGUCGUGACGUCAUCUAUGGCAAUGAUUAUAUCUAUAGGAAUCACGUCCAAAACAAGUAGACCGAUACUUUCUGCAUCUACUACUAUUACUCCGCACGUUGACCGCUAUCCAGCAUGCAUCUAGUGUAUUAAGUCCAAAAGAACAGAGUAACGCCUUAAGCAAGAUGACAUGAUGUAGAUGGACAAUCUCAUAUCAACGACAGAGCCCACCUUGUUACCCUUGAUGGAAACUACUCAAUGUGUGCCUUGCUGCCCCUACUGUCACUGGGAAAGGUCUCCACACAGUAAGAACCCAAAACCAAGCACUUCUCCCAUUGCAAGAAUCAUAGAUCUAGUUGGCCAAACAAAAACGAAGACUUGGAGAGACUUACAAGGAUAUCAAAUCAUGCAUAUAAGAAAUCAGCAAAGACUCAAAUAUAUAUCAUAGAUAAUCUGAUCACAAAUCCACAAUUCAUUGGAUCUCGACAAACACACCGCCAAAGAAGAUUACAUCGGAUAGAUCUCCAUGAAGAUCAUGGAGAACUUUGUAUUGAAGAUCCAAGAGAGAGAAGAAGCCAUCUAGUUACUAACUACGGACCCGUAGGUCUGAAGUGAACUACUCACGAGUCAUUGGAGGGGCGAGGAUGAUGACGAAGAAGCCCUCCAACUCCAAAGUCCCCUCCGGCAGGGCACUGGGAAGGGUCUAUAGAUGAGAUCUCGCGGAAACGGAAGCUUGCGACGGCAGAAAAGUAUUUUCGUGGAUCCCUUGAUUUUUUUCUGAUUUUUAGGGAAUAGAUAGGCGCAAGAUGUAGGUCAGGGGGCGCUAGGGAGGCCACAAGCCGGCCCACCGCCGCCUCCCCCUGGUGGCGGAGUGGGGGCUUGUGGGCUCCCUGUAGCCCUCCUGGCUUGGGCCACAGGCCCCCUGAUCUUCUUCCGUUCGCGAAAAAAUCAUUUCGGGGAUUUUAUUCCGUUUGGACUCUGUUCCAAAAUCAGAUCUGAAAAGAGCCAAAAACACGGAAAAAACAGGAACUGGCACUUGGCACUAAAUUAAUAAGUUAGUCCCAAAAAAGAUAUAAAAGGUAUAUAAAACAUCCAAAGAUGACAAGAUAACAACAUGAAACCAUCAAAAAUUAUAGAUACGUUUGAGACGUAUGAGUACCCCAAAACCUCAUAGGUUGCUCGUAAAGGUCCUCCCGUCGAUCCAUCCACUCUAACACGUUUGCAUGUGAAAUACCCUAUUCCUCAGAUGAGUCAUUUGACUCCAACUAUAAAAUGUUCAAAAAUCAAACUGGUGAAGUUUUUCCUCGAUACGUUGGAACUAAUUGCGGUAAUGGAUCACCCCUGAGGAAAAUCUGGGUCCCCAAAAGUUGUUUGGAAAAUCUUCACGUAAAUGUCCUCAUGACACGACCUGUGAAGAACCAGAAACCCAGAUCAAUUUCCUUAGGUGGACCAGAAUCUUCACGAGGAUCAAAAUCCUCAAAUGGCUGAUACCAUACUCGUACUCGCGCUAAUGCUUCUAAUAUGUAGGGAAAUUAUAGGGGACAUGAAUAUGAGCGUUAUUCCUCAAAUCAUUAUGUUCAUAAGUCCUCAAAGAAUUUCUCUCCCUAUUCAUUUGAGUACUCUAACCCCCUACUGUGAAAAUAAGUGCUUUAGCUUCAAUGCAUCCAUUCUCAUAUGGUGCUCACAGGAUGAUGAACUCCUUGCCACCCCUUCAGAUAUGGGUGGUGAAGAAAUUUAAGUAAUCACUUCUGCAGGUCAGGUCUCCAGAUGAAAGACAUCAUCUAAAGAAUUUGCUGGAGACCUGAGGAAAAUGCUUGAUUCGACGCAAGCUAAACUUGAUGAAAUGAUAACAUUUCACACGUCCUCAAGUUUAUUGUUUAUGAUGAAAUUCGUAUCUGAUAAAAUUGAUAUCAUAUUCUUCAAGUCUGACGCAUAUGAGAUGGUAAGCUGUACUAAUUCAUCCGCAGAAUGACAAACCCAAGAAUACAGAGUGGGUUCUUGACAGUGGUUGCACAAACCACAUGACAAGUGAUAAAAUAUUGUUAAUGAAUAUGCCACCGACUACAUCACCACUGAAGCAAAUCACGUGUGCUGAUAAAGGUAAAAGCAAGGUAUUGGGACUUGGCAAAGUGGCUAUCUCCAAGGACAGGCCCAUGGACAAAGUCAUGCUUGUCGAAUCCCUUGGGUUUAACCUCAUGUCAGUAUCAAUGCUUUGUAACCUUGAUAUGGUUGUUAUCUUUGGAAAAUACAGAUGCGUAAUCAUCAUGGAAUCUGACAAAUCCAAAGUCUUCGAAGGCUUUAGGAGAGGAGAUUUGUACAUUGUUGAUUUUUCCAUAGGUCCUCAACCAGCCACAUGCUCACUAGCAAAAACCUCAGAAGGACAGCUAUGGCAUCGACAUCUGGGUCAUGCAGGCAUGAGAAAUUUGCACACGCUAGCGAAGAAGAAGCAUGUCAUUGGCAUCGAACCAGUCAAAUUCCUCAAGGAUCAUCUCUGCAGUGCUUGUGAAUCUGGAAAGAUUACCAAAUCCAAACACCCCUCGAAGACUAUAAUGACUACUACUCGUCCGUUUGAAUUGCUUCAGAUGGAUCUCUUUGGACCUACUCAUUAUGCUACUCUAACAAAUGCAACAUCUUUAUAUGGCUUUGUCAUCGUUGAUGACUAUUCUCGCUAUACUUGGGUACACAUCAUUCUAUAUAAAACUGAAGUGCAGGAAGUCUUCAAAUAAUUUUCCUCAAGGGCCUCGACUAACUGUAGCGUCAAGAUCAAACACAUUAGGAGUGAUAAUGGGACAGAAUUCGAAAACACUAGUCUUGAUGAUUGUCUUGAUAAACUUUGUAUUACUCAAAAAUUAUCUGGUCCUUAUAAUCCUCAACAGAAUGGUGUCGUUGUACGCAAGAACAUGACUCUGGUAGAAUUGGCAUGAACUAUGCUUGAAGAAUAUCCGACUCCUUGUUGUUUCUGGCCUGAAACAAUCAAUACUGCUUGCCACAUCAUCAACAGGGUAUAUCUUCACAAAUUCCUCAAGAAAACCUCAUAUGAAUACCUCACUGACAAGAAACCAAAUGUAAGUUAUUUCAAAGUCUUCAGUGCAAAAUACUGGAUUAGAGAUCCUCACCAUAGCUCAAAGUUUGCACCUAAAGCACAUGAGGGUUUUAUGCUUGGUUACGGAAAGGACUCGCGCACCUACAGAGUCUUCAACACCUAUCACAACAAGGUUGUUGAAACUGUAGAUGUGCGGUUCGAUAAAACUAAUGGCUCGCAAAUAGAGCAAUUGCCUCCUAUGCGAGACAUAUUACCUCCUGAAGAAGCCAUCAAGCUCAAAGCCACUCAAGAUAUCAUUCCCACCGAGGAAAUUGAUGAAGAGAUCGUCCCCAACACUGAUGAAAUUCAAACAGGUGCACCUGAGGAAAUUGCUCCAGAUCAAAUUCCUCAGCCCAACCAAAGUCUUCAACCUGCUCAUCCAAGGAUUGCAAAUGAAGUAGAACUUGACAAAAUCCUCAAUGAAAUCAAUGCGCCAGGUCCUCUCACUCGCUCGAAAGCUUCACAUUUAGUUAACUUUUGUGGGCAUUCAUCUUUUGUGUCUAUCACGGAACCCUCAAAAGUUGUUGAAGCCUUCAUGGAACCUGAGUGGAUUCAAGCCAUGCAAUAUGAACUUCUUCAGUUCAAGCUAAAUGACGUGUGGGAACCCGUCAAACGACCAGAUCCUCGCAAGCACAAUAUCAUCAGCACCAAGUGGAUCUACCAAAACAAGCAAGUUGAGGAUGGUGAGGUAGUGAGGAAUAAGGCAAGACUUGUAGCCCAAGGCUACACACAGCUUGAAGGAAUUAGUUUCGAUGAAACUUUUGCACCUGUUCCUAGACUUGAAGCUAUUCAAAUACUAAUGGCUUAUGCUAAUCAUCAUAAUAUUACUCUAUAUCAAAUGGAUGUGAAAAGUGCAUUGCUCAAUGGUAAGAUUGAGGAAGAAGUAUAUGUUGCUCAGCCCCCAGGUUUUGAAGACCCGAAGCACCCUGACAAAGUCUUCAGACUCAAAAAGGCACUCUAUGGCCUCAAGCAAGCCCCUCGGGCGUGGUAUGAUACAUUGAAGGAAAUCCUCAUGAAGAAAGACUUCAAACCUGGUACACUUGAUCCUACUCUUUUCACAAAAUCCUAUGACAAUGAACUAUUUGUGUGCCAAAUAUAUGUCGACGACAUUAUCUUUGGUUGUACUGACAAACGUUAUAGUGAUGAAUUUGCUUACAUGAUGAGUGAAGAAUAUCAGAUGUCUAUGAUGGGGGAGCUGAAAUUCUUCUUAGGUCUUCAAAUUCGUCAACACAAUGGUAUCUUCAUAUCUCAAGAGAAAUACCUCAAGGAUGUCCUGAGGAAAUUCAACAUGCAUGAAUGCAAAGGCGUCAAGAUUCCUAUGAUUACCAACGGCCACCUCUACACUAACGAAAAUGGUAAAGAUUUCGAUAAGCAGGUAUAUCAUCCUAUGAUUGGUCUUUAUUGUACCUAUGUGCAUCUAGGCCAGAUAUUAUGCUUAGUGUUUGCAUGUGCGCUCGUUUUCAAGCAAAACUGAAGGAAUCACACCAUAAGGCUAUGAAACACAUUCUUCGAUACUUAGCUCACACACCAACACUAGGAUUAUGGUACCCCAAGGGCUCAAAUCUUCACCUCGUUGGAUAUUUUGAUUGUGAUUAUGUGGGUGACCAUGUGGAUCACAAUUCAACAUCAGGCACAUGCCAUUUCCUCGGAAGAUCAUUAGUUUGCUGGUCCUCAAAGAAGCAGAACUCUGUAUCACUCUCCAGUGUCGAGGCUAAGUACAUUGCUGCUGGAUCCUGCUAUGCUCAACAGCUAUGGAUGAAGCAAACCUUCAGAGACUACGAUAUCUACAUGAAGAAUGUUCUCCUCUACUGCGACAAUGAGAGUGCAAUCAAGAUCGCCUACAACCCAGUACAACACUCGAAGACUAAGCACAUCCAGAUUCGUCACCAUUUUCUUCGUGACCAUGUCCUCAAGGGCAAUAUCAUCAUCGACCAUGUGAAGACCUACAAUCAACUAGCAGGUAUCUUCACAAAGCCCUUGAAUGAGAGAAGGUUUUGCAAGUUGCGGUGUGAGCUAAAUAUCCUAGAGUCUUCAAAUAUUUUGUGAAAACAUGCACACAUCCUAACACUUAUGAAAAAAUUGAUGACUUAAAUGUGCAACACACGAAGAACCGAUUUUCUUCAAUGAAUGAAGAACAUCACUCUUAGUGUGAAGAAAUUAAUGAAGAAUAUGGUUCUCAGGGCCCUACGACAAUUGUACGCGGCCCUUGAAAUCAGCAUUCUUAUACGGUGGGUCACGCCACCACCCAACUUUGAAAUUCUUCAAGUUGCAAUUUUUUCAAAGUUGAAAUCUUCAAUUUGAGACUUUUCACAAAAUCCUCAAAAUUUUCGAAAUAUUCAAAGUUAUCAAUUUUUUCAAAACUCCGUGUGAUGAUAUUCAUUUGGCUAUACACNNCACACACACACAUUGACUUAUCGCUCGGUCUUGAAUUUGAUAUUUCCUCUAAGUGAAUGUGAUCGGACCCGACUCCCCUCUAUUCUAAGCUCAACCCAGUCCAUUCUAAAUUCUUCAUAUGCGUUCUAGUUAACACUUGUUCAAAAUCCUCACUGAGUCCUUGUCAGCUGAGGACUUUGCAACAAAAUCCUCAAAAUUAAAAAAUUGUUUUUAUAACGUCACAAAGUUACCAGACCCACUUCUCAUGAUCAGAUAACCACGGACUCCACCGCUUCAAUCUUGGGCACCACGUGUCACGCAAAGACGAAGGGGCAAGGGCAGUUCAGUCCAAAAGUUUUGGCCCGAAUAGUUUUUCACCUGAGCUAUAAAUACCCACUUACCCCCUUUAGUCAAAACUCUUCCUCCCUACCGUAGUCUCCGCUCGAACUCAAGCCCUAGCGCCACUGCUAGCAUCCUCGUCGGCGGUGAGGAAAAGCUUCAUGGCCUCGCCCUCGCCAUCGUCGAACUCACGCCGACCACGGAAAAUCUUCGUCCGCCGCUGCCGUAGCUGAUUUCAGUUGCCAAGUUAUGGCGCGGAAGAUCUGAACCGAAGAGCUUAUUCCUUUUACUCCUCCAGUUCUUCGGGUUAUUCGCACAAGGCAAAUAAAAUCAUGUUUUACUCCCUCUGUUGAUCUUUUAAAUCUCUUUGGAUUCACGGAAUCUUUUUUCCUCAGAAAGUCUGUCUGCCAUGCACACUCAUGCCUCAAACACUUGAUGAAUUUCACUAAGCCUCUAAAAUUCUUCAUGAGAUUCCUCAAUUGUGUAAUUCUCGAAUCUGCACAACUCUGGAACCCAAGAUCAGAAUGCUUAGUCAAAUUACUCAACUCGCUGCUCAAAUUCCUCAACUUUAAAAAAAAUGCAUAUGACCUCUCCAAAUUCUUCGCACCUAUACUCUGUUCACAGGUACAAAAUGUCAGCUGAUGAAUCUCUAGGUUCUCAUCAACUUAACUCAUUUGUAGAAUUUCUCGAAAAAAAUCUUACCUGUGUCUUCAGAAUCAUCAAGAGUUCAAAUUCCUCAGCAAAAUCCUCGGCUGAAGAAAAUGGACGAAGACCGGAAACAGAAAGGUGGAAAGAAGCUGGAACAGAAUACAACCUUUGAAAUCCCUAAAGAAAUAUAUGCUGAUUAUUGUACACCUGAUGAGGAAAUACAUGGUAAAGAGACCAUGGCAAACCGCAAAAUAAGCCUUCAAAAGAUUGAACGCCGGUGGGCUAAAGAAUGAAAGGAGUACAGAUAUGUGACUCCGAAAUACGCAAAGAAGUUCACCCUCAAGCCUCCGUGCAAAAGGCUGCCAAAGGGUGAUCAACAAGCAGCACAUCCCUCAAGUGUAGUCACUAUUGAGGACUAUCCUGAUGAGAAAGACAAAUACUUGUCUAAAUUACAGAAAAAGGCAAAAGCAGCUAUGAUGAAAUUCAGUGAGGACUCUGCUGCUGCAGCCACUACUGCUACUUAUUCAGCUGUUGAGGACUCUGCCACUGCAAUUCCUCAGAAGAAGGCUCUGCAAAAUAAACCAAAAGCUUCAACUGCAGCGACAGAAGAGAAAUUUCCUUAGAAGGUUGCACCGGCUACAAAAUCCUCAACUACAACAGAGUAUUCAACCCCACAGCACAAGCAGCUCAGUAAGACUCAACAUGAACAACCAAGUUCCUCAGUGCCAUCUGCUACUGGCUCUGCUUCAAAAUAUUCACUAAUUCUGCUGAAGACUAAGAUGACUGCUGGUAGAGGUACCUGAUACGUCUCCAACGUAUCUAUAAAUUUUGAUGGUUUCAUGCUAUUAUCUUGUCAAACGUUGGAUGUUUUGCAUGCCUUUUAUAUAUUUUUUGGGACUAACUUAUUAACUCAGUGCCAAGUGCCAGUUCCUGUUUUUCCAUGUUUUUGACCCCUUUCAGAAUAGAUUUUGAAACGGAGUCCAAACGGCAUAAAAUCCCCGAAAACAUUUUUUCCGUAACGGAAGAAGAUCACGAGACUUGAGAGCCAAGGCAGGGGGCCCCAGGGUCCCCACAAGCCCUCACCCCGCGGCCAGGGGGAGGUCGCGGCCCACAGGCUUGUGGGCCCCCUGGACCUCCUUUGCCCUAGGGUUUGCGCCUAUAUAUCCCCAAAAAUUCCACAAAAAAUCAAGAGAUCAUCGAAAGUACUUUUCCUCCGCCGCAAGCUUCUGUCUCCGCAAGAUCCCAUCUGGGGCACGUUUUGGUGCCCUGCCGGAGGGGGGAUUCGGACACGAAGGGCUUCUUCAUCAACACCAUGAUCUCUCGGAUGAUGCGUGAGUAGUUCACCAUAGACCUACGGGUCCAUAGCUAGUAACUAGAUGGCUUGUUCUCUCUCUUGGAUCUUCAAUACAAAGUUCUCCAUGAUCUUCAUGGAGAUCUAUCCGAUGUAAUCUUCUUUUACGGCGUGUUUGUCGAGAUCCGAUGAAUUGUGGAUUUAUGAUCAGAUUAUCUAUGAAUCUUAUAUGAGUUUCUUCUGANUACCGUGCGGUGACCUCACCCAGUGAUACAAGGGGUAGCGAGGCACGUAUCGUGUUGUUGCCAUCGAGGGUAAAAAGAUGGGGUUUUCAUCAUUGGUUUGAGAUUAUCCCUCUACAUCAUGUCAUCUUGCUUAAGGCAUUACUCUGUUCGUCAUGAACUCAAUACACUAGAUGCAUGAUGGAUAGCGGUCGAUGUGUGGAGUAAUAGUAGUAUAUGCAGAAAGUAUCGGUCUACUUGUCUCGGACGUGAUGCCUAUAUGUAUGAUCAUUGCCUUAGAUAUUGUCCUGACUUUGCGCGGUUCUAUCAAUUGCUCGACAGUAAUUUGUUCACCCACCAUAAUACUUGCUAUUUUGAGAGAAGGCUCUAGUGAACACUAUGGCCCCCAGGGUCUACUCUAUACCAUAUUUUCAGCCUUACACUUCUUACUUCGUUGCACUUUCCGCCUUCAGAUCUCACUUUGCAAACAAUCCUGAAGGGAUUGACAACCCCUUUACAGCGUUGGGUGCAAGCUCUUUUGUGUUUGUGCAGGUACUCUAGACUUGACGAGAUUCUCCUACUGGAUUGAUACCUUGGUUCUCAAACUAAGGGAAAUACUUACUACUCCUAUGCUGCAUCACCCUUUCCUCUUCAAGGGAAAAACCAACGCAAGCUAGUGUCCUUCAACGUGUCAAUUUCUGGAGCCUUUGUCUGAGAAGUAGCAGAAGGAUUUCUGGCGCCGUUGCCAGGGAGGAUCAAGUCAAGAACUCAUCCAAGUAAGUGUCGCAAACUCAUCUCUUGCAUUUACUUUGUUUGUCAGUUGCCUCUCGUUUUCCUCUCCCCCACUUCACCAAUUUGCCCUUUUCGUUUGCCUUUUUUGUUUGCCUUUCCUUUGCUUGUGGGCUAUGUGCCUUCGAUAUGCUUGCAUCUUCGCUUGCUGAAAGUCCAUUGAUAUGGAUCCUCAUCCACUUGCUAAUCCCUUUAAGAGAUCCAAUUAUGUUGAACCAAUUUCUAGUGAGUUGAGUGCACUUGACUUUCUUUAUGAAGUUUGGCUUGAGAUGCGUGAAUCUGAAAAUCAUAAUGAAGAGAUUUAUGAAGNAUUCACGAGGGCUCCUUGGAUGAAAAGCAUGAUUGCAAUGGUUUCACUAUGAAUUCUAUUAGUGACAAUCAUGCUAAAAAUAUGCAAAACCCCAAGCUUGGGGAUGCUAGUUUCGCUAUGUCCACUACUGGAUGCAAUGAUCAUGAUUGGGGUGAUGAUUUUUCUUAUGAUCCUCAAAAUUUGUUUAAGCCUCAUGAUGAAUAUGAUAUUUGCAAUAUUAUUGAAAGUGGGUUUGGAGAAGUCAUGACUUUAGUUGAUGAUAAUCCCACUAUUUUUGAAGAGCGUCAACUUUGCAAUCAUGUGGAUCAUGAAAAUAAUAUCCUUCGUGAUAACUACAUUGUGGAAUUUGAAUAUGAUCCCACAUGUAAUUGCUAUGAGAGAGGAAAAUAUUGUGGUAGAAACUUCCAUGUUACCAAAUUACCUCUCGUUAUGUUGAGAUUGCUAUUGUCUCUUUCUUCUUCCUUGCAUUUGGUAACUAUUGGUUGUCUUGCCAAUUUGUUUUCCUAUAAAAUGCCUAUGCAUAGGAAGUAUGUUAGACUUAGAUGUGAUUUUCACAUGUUUCAUGAUGCUCUCUUGGUGUCCGAUUGCUCUCUUUUGUGUGAGCAUCAUUGAAAUCCUUAUGCCUAGCUAAGGGCGUUAAACAAUAGCGCUUGUUGGGAGGCACCCAACGAAUUUAUCUUUUUCUUUCUGUUUUGUUGCAUCCACACUUCCAUAAUUCUAUUGUGGUUGUGUUUUUUGUGUUUCUUUUUGUGUUUGAGCCAAGCAAAACCUUUAUGAUUAGUCUUGGUAAUGGUCGUUUGAUCCUGCUGGAAAAAGACAGAAACUUUUCGCUCACGAGAUGAUUUUUCAUUUUUAAUCAAAAAGAGCUUUUGAGUUGAUUCUUUUUUCUUCUGGUUGAUAUGCCUUUUGCCUAGGCAGUCGUAAGUUUUCAGAAUUUUUGAUGUACGAGAAGUAUACAGAUUGCUACAAACUGGUCUGUUUUUGAUAGAUUCUGUUUUUGUUGAGUUGGUUGCUUGUUUUGAUGAAACUACGGUUAGUAUCGAGGGGUACUAGCCAUGGAAAAGUGAGAAUACAGUAUCCCAACACCAAUAUAGAUAGAAUUCAAGUUUGCUACACUACCAAAAGAAGUGGUAGUUUGUUUUCUUGUGCUAAUGUUAUCACGAUUUUCUGUUUAAGUUUUGUGUUGUGAAGUUUUCAAGUUUUGGGUGAUGUUCUCAUGCACAAAGAGAUAAGGAGUGGAAAGAGCUCAAGCUUGGGGAUGCCCAAGGCAUCCCAAGCCAAAUUCAAGGACACCAAAAAGCCUAAGCUUGGGGAUGCCCCGGGAAGGCAUCCCCUCUUUCGUCUUCAAUCCAUCGGUAACAUUACUUGGAGCUAUAUUUUUAUUCACCACAUGAUAUGUGUUUUUCUUGGAGCGUCUUGUAUCUUAGGAGCCUUUUAUUUUUGUUUUGUCACAAUCAUCCUUGCUGCACACCUUUUUGAGAGAGAAAUACAUGCACUCAUCUGAUUUUGCUAGAAUGCUCAUAGUGCUUCACUUAUAUCUUUUGAGCUAGAUACUUUUGCUCUAUGUGCUUCACUUAUAUCUUUUAGAGCACGGCGGUGCGUGACUUGGUAGUUGUCUUAUGCUAUGAAAAUAGUCCCAAAUGUGAUAGGUACCCAAAGAGGAUGCAAAACCUCCAUCUUCAUGUGUAUUGAGUAGAAAGAGAAGUCUUGAUUCCUCUCAAUUAGUUUUGAGACGUGGAUUCGGUAAUAUUAAGAGUUAUGUUAGUAAGGUGUUGUGAAUCUAGAAAUACUUGUGUUGAAGUUAGUGAUUCCCAUAGCAUGCACGUAUGGUGAACCGCUAUGUUAGGAAGUCGGAGCAUAAUCGAUCUAUUGAUUGUCAUCCUUUGUGUUGAGGUCGGGAUCGCGCGAUGGUUAACACCUACCAACCCUUCCCCUAGGAGUAUGCGUUUAGCACUUUGUUUUGAUUACUAAUAAAAACUUUCACAACAAGUAUGUGAGUUCUUUAUGACUAAUGUGAGUCCAUGGUAUAGAUGCACUUUCACCUUCCACCAUUGCUAGCCUCUCUAGUGCCGCGCAAUUCUCGCCGGAGCACAAACCCACCAUAUGCCUUCCUCAAAACAGCCACCAUACCUACCUACUAUGGCAUUUUCAUAGCCAUUCCGAGAUAUAUUGCCAUGCAACUCCCACCGUUCCGUCUCAUGACUUGUGUUGUCACUGUCAUAUCGCCCUUGCAUGAUCGUAAGAUAGCUAGCGAGAUGUUUCAGCGUCAUACGCCAUGCUAGAUCGUUGCACAUCCCGGUACACUGCUGGAGGCAUUUCCUAUAGAGUCAUUUCUAAGCUUUGAGCUGUGAGUUAAUAAAAGUGUGAUGAUCAUCAUUAUUAGAGCAUUAUCCCAUGUGAGGAAAUAAAAAAAAGAGGCCAAAUAGCCCAAAAAUAAAAAAAGGAGAAAAGAGAAAAAAAUAAGAAAAAAAGGCCUAAGAGCCCAAAUAAAAAAAAGAGAAAAAGAGAGACGGGACAAUGCUACUAUCUUUUUCCACACUUAAGCUUCAUAAUAGCAUCAUGUUCUUCUUGAUUGAGAGCUUCUUGCUUUGUCACCAUCAUAUGCUAGUGGGAAUCUUCAUUAUAUAACUUGGCUUGUAUAUUCCAAUGAUGGGCUUCCUCAAAAUUGCCCUAGGUCUUCGUGAGCAAGCAAGUUGGAUGCACACCCACUAGUUUUCCUUUUUGAGCUUUCACAUACUUAUAGCUCUAGUGCAUCUCUUGUAUGUCAAUCCCUACUCAUUCACAUUGAUAUCUACUAAUGGGCAUUUCAUAGCCUUUUGAUAUGUCUCUCUCUCUAGGUGUGCGGCAAGGAUGAUUGUGACACAACAAAAAUAAAAGGCUCCUACGAUACAACACGCUCCAAGAAAAAACACAUAACAUGUGGUGAAUAAAAAUAUAACCCCAAGUAACAUUACCGAUGGAUUGAAGACGAGAGAGGGCAUGCCUUCCCGGGGCAUCCCCAAUCUUAGGCUUUUUCGACAUCCUUGAAUAUCUUGGGGUGCCUUGGGCAUCCCCAAGCUUGAGCUCUUGUCACUCUUUAUCUCUUUGUCCAUAAGAACUUCACCCAAAACUUGAAAACUUCACAACACGGAACUUAAACAGAAACAGGUCAUAACAUUAGUAUGAGAAAGCAAACCACCACUUCCUUAGGUACUGUAGAAAACUUAAAUUCUACUUAUGGUGAUGUUGGGUUACUGUAUUUUCAAUAUUUCAUGGCUAAUACCCCCCAAUACUAUCCAUAGUUUCAUCAAAAUAAGCAACCAACACAACAAAAUCAGAAUCUGUUAACAGCAGACUAGUCUGUAGCAAUCUGUAUAUUUCGUAUACUUCUCGCACUUCAAAAAUUCUGAAAAAUUACAAUAGUCUGAAGAAUUUGCGUAGAAAUCAGUAGCAGAAAGAAUCGACUCAAAAGCUCUUACAGAAAAAAAUGGAAAUUCUUUUCGUGAGUAGAAAGUUUCUGUCUUUUCCAGCAUGACCAAACGAUCAUCCCCAAGACUAAUCAUAACGGUUUUGCUUGGCACAAACGCAAAAAGAAACACAAAAAACACAAUCGUAACAGAAUUAUGAAAGUGUGGAAAACACAAAAUAGAAACAAAAAGGAUAGAUUCGUUGGAUUGCCUCCCAACAAGCGCUUUUGUUUAACGCCCUUAGCUAGGCAAAAGGUGAUGCACACACAAAAGACAAGAAUUGAAGCACAACGAGAGCAUCAUAAAGAAUGUGAAAAUCACAUCUAAGUCUAACAUACUUCCUAUGCAUAGGCAUUUUAUAGGAAAACAGAUUUUCAAGACAACCAAUAGUUGCCAUAUGCAAGGAAGAAGAAAGAGACAAUAGCAAUCUCCACAUAAUAAGAGGUAAUUUGGUAACAUGAAAGUUUCUACCACAAUAUUUUCCUCUCUCAUAGCUAUUACAUGUGAGAUCAUAUUCGAAUUCAACAAUGUAACUAUCACAAAGGAUAUUCUUUUCAUGAUCCACAUGCAUGCAAAGUUGACGCUCUUCAAAAAUAGUGGGAUUAUCAUCUAAAGUCAUGACUUCUCCAAAACCACUUUCAAUAUUAUUAGAAAUAUCGUAUUCAUCAUGAGGUUUGAACAAAUUUUCAAGAUCAUAGGAAAGAUCAUCACCCCAAUCAUGAUUAUUGCAACAAGUAGUGGACAUAGCAAAGCUAGCAUCCCCAAGCUUAGGGUUUUGCAUAUUUUUAGCAUGAUUGUCAUUAAUAGGAUUUAUAGUGAAAUCAUUGCAAUCAUGCUUUUCAUUCAAGGAGCCAUCGUGAACCACUUCUUCAUGACGAUUUUUUGAUUCACGCAUCUCAAGCAAAAAUCCAUAAAGAUAGUCAAGCGCACUCAACUCACUAGCAAUUCGUUCCACAUAAGUCGGUCUCUUAAAGAGAUUAGCUAGUGGAUGAGGAUCCAUAUCACUAGAUUUUUAGCAAGCGAAGAUGCAAGCAUAUUGAAGGCACACGGCACACAAGAGAGCAAGAAAACGGGCACAGGAAAAUGGCAAAAGGCAAAAGAAAACGGCAAAGGAGAAAGGCAAAUGAAAACGGCAAAUGUGAAGUGGGGGAGAGGAAAACGAGAGGCAACUGGCAAAAAGGUAAAUGCAGGAGAUGAGUUUGUGAGACCUACUUGGAUAGAUCUCUCCUCCCCGGCAACGGCGCGAGAAAUACUUCUGCUAUUGCAACAAAAGACCUUCCAACGGCGCUAGAAACACAUGUUGACGGGAGACUGUUCUUGUCUAGAUUCUCGUCAACAACGGCACCAGGAAUCCUUCUGCUACGGCUACGCCUUUAGGGACUUCCUAGGCAAAUAUGCAAAGGAUUUCCCCGUGGCCUUGGAGCCUUGCGUUGGUGUUCCCUCGAAGCGGAAAGGGUGAUGUAGCGCAGCGGUGGUAAGUAUUUCCCUCAGUUUUGAGAACCAAGGUAUAGAUCCAAUGAAGGAGUAUCACAAGUGCCUGCACAAACACAAAGAACCUGCUCCCAACACUAUGAAGGGGUUGUCAAUCCCUUAUAGAUUGUUCGCAAAGUGAGAACUGAAAGCAACAAAAUAACAAAGCAAAGUAACAGCGGAGGUGUAAAUGAUAGAUGUGAAUAGACCCGGGGGCCGUAGUGUUUACUAGUGGCUUCUCUCAUGAAAGCAAGUAGACGGUGAGUGAACAAAUUACUCUCGAGCAAUUGAUAGAACCGCGCAUAGUCGUGAGUCAUCUAUGGCAAUGAUUAUAUCUAUAGGCAUCACGUCCAAAACAAGUAGACCGAUACUUUCUGCAUCUACUACUAUUACUCCACACAUCGACCGCUAUCCAGCAUGCAUCUAGUGUAAUAAGUCCAAAAGAACAGAGUAACUCCUUAAGCAAGAUGACAUCAUGUAGAUGGACAAUCUCAUAUCAACGACAGAGCCCACCUUGUUACCCUUGAUGGCAACUACUCAAUGUGUGCCUUGCAGCCCCUACUGCCACUGGGAAAGGUCACCAUAUGGUAAGAACCCAAAACCAAGCACUUCUCCCAUUGCAAGAAUCAUAGAUCUAGUUGGCCAAACAAAACCCAAGACUCGGAGAGACUUACAAGGAUAUCAAAUCAUGCAUAUAAGAAAUCAGCAAAGACUCAAAUAUAUAUCAUAGAUAAUCUGAUCAAAAAUCUACAAUUCAUCGGAUCUCGACAAACACACCGCCAAACAAGAUUACAUCGGAUAGAUCUCCAUGAAGAUCAUGGAGAAUUUUGUAUUGAAGUGAACUACUCACGAAUCAUUGGGGGGGGGCGAUGAUGAUGACGAAGAAGCCCUCCAACUCCAAAGUCCCCUCCGGCAGGGCAUUUUCUUGGAUCCCCUGAUUUUUUUUUUCUGAUUUUUAGGGAAUAUAUAGGCGUAAGAUCUAGGUUAGGGCGGCACCAGGGCCCCCCCCCCCCCCCCCCCGGUGGCGGAGUGGGGGCUUGUGGGCUCCCUGUAGCCCUCCUGGCUUGGCCCACAGCCCCCCUGAUCUUCUUCCGUUCGGGAAAAAAUCAUUUCGGGGAUUUUAUUCCGUUUGGACUCCGUUCCAAAAUUAGAUCUGAAAAGAGCCAAAAACACAGAAAAACAGGAACUGACACUUGGCAGUGAAUUAAUAAGUUAGUCCCAUAAAAAGAUAUAAAAGGUACAUAAAACAUCCAAAGAUGACAAGAUAACAACAUGAAACCAUCAAAAAUUAUAGAUACGUUUGAGAUGUAUCAAGCAUCCCCAAGCUUAACUCCUGCUCGUCCUCUAUUAGGGAAGUGAUAAAGAAUGAAUUUUUGAUGCUUUGACGCUACCUAGCAUAGAUGUCCUUUGUAACUCCUCUUAUGUGACGUGAAUGUUCAGAUCCAUUAGAUUCAAAACAAUAGUUUUCCAUUGACGUGGAAACAAUAAUAAUUCAAGCAAACUAGCAAGGUAAUCAUGAACUUUCAAAAUAACAAGGCCAAAAGAAAGUUAUCCCUACAAAAGCAUAUAGUGUGGCUAUGCUCUAUCAUCAUUGCAAAACGAAUUUAAAUCAUGCACAACCCUGGUAUUGGCCAAGUAAUUGUUUCACACCUUUACUUUCUCAAACCUUUUCAACUCUCACGCAAUACAUGAGCGUGAGCCAUGGUUUUAGCACUAUAGGUGAUGUGGAGUGUGGUGGAGGUUGCAAGACAAAAAAGGAGAAGAUAGUCACAUUAACUAGGCAUAUCAAUGAGCUAUGGAGAUGAUCAUCAAUAGAUAUCAAUGUGAAUGAGUAGGGAUUGCCAUACAAAUGAUGCACUAGAGCUAAUAGUAAGUGAAAGCUCUUAAAGAAAACUCGUGUCAACUCAGGCUGAACUCAAAAUCCUCACAGAAAAGUAUACAAGUCUUCAUGCUGAUCGCCAAGGGGUCAAACUGAAAUUCAUCAAAGCUGGAACUCUGCAGUUGAUGUGUGUAACAACAGAGCUGCCACUCCAAAGCAGCAGACACAACCUCAUCCAAGCUAUACUGUUCAGCUGACUAAGGAAGAUGAAACUAAAGAACCAGCUCCUAAGGAAAUUCCCCAGAAUAUUUCAGCUAAAUAAACUGCCAGGCCUAACACUGAUGAACUAGUCCCUCAUGAAAUUGCACCUUCACCAAAAUCCUCAAAGGUGAAGAAAGUGACUCCGUCUACAUCAGACGUGAAGAAAACCAAAGCGGUUCAGAAAGAAGCUAAAAAGAGAAAAGCUUAAAUGGCUUCAGAAUCCUCAGAAGCCAAAUGUCUCAAGAUUAUGCCGUCAUAAUCUUCAUCAGCCCCGGUGGAUGCUACUCCUGUCAAUGUAGCAUCAUCGUACAUGAUUGUUCCCUUCGGUAAGGACUAUGACAUUCCCGAAGAAGAUGAAGAAAUGGAUGACCCAGAAGAGGAUGAAGUAAUGGAUGAGGAAAUACAAAUUGAUGAUAUUCCUCAAAUCACCACACCUCCGAUGACCACUGAAGAAAAGGAGGGUGAUGAAGAAAAUGGAUGCAGCACUCAUGUGAUCCAUGAUGAGUUCUAGGAACACACUCGUCCUCACUCACCACAAACAGCUCUAGUUCCUCAUACUCCAGCUGCCACUGAGGUUCGUACCGGUUCUGAUGAAAAGAGCAUUCGUGAGGAAUGAGCACAAGAAUCAGCUGCAUCGGCUGAACAAAGUGCAACAUCAAAUACUGCAACUGCGUCCUUAGAUAAGAAGAUUCCUCAAGAUGAAGAAAAUGCUCCAACUGAAGAAAAUGCUCCUGUUCCUAAUACUGAAACCGCGAUUGUCGUGGUGAAUCCUAAAACAACAAUUGUGGUGGCUACUCCUCAAGAACAACAACACAAUCUUCAACCGAAGACAAAUCAACCCUUCUCCAACAGGCCAAAGUUUCAGAAAGAAGCAUUCUAUGAAGAACGUAUGUUCUUCACCUGUAGCGACCCGACUCAAAAUGAGUCAAGCCUCUGUGUAUCUGUGCCAUCUCUGGAUCAGUAUGCUGGCACACACAGUACAUCAAUGUAUAUACCAAAGUGCAAUCACAUGUAAAUAACAUAAAAUUGAUAUAUACCUCAAAGUCUCAGCGGAAACAGUCAAGGGAGUAGAGUCCCAAUAAACACCAACGACGGGUUGAGUGCAGACUGUAACCCUAAAUCGUACUCUUAGUCGUUGAAGAAAAUAUCUGCAACAUAAGACGUUGCAGCCGUGUAUGUCAGCAUAUUGAAUAUGCCGACAAGUCACAAAAGAGGGGUGAAAAUAUCAUCUAUACUAUAUGCACAUAUGGAAGGUGGGGCUAUAGUUUAAGUUUUGCAUAAAGAAAAUUUUCCUACAACAAGAGAGAGGGUAAAAGCAAAACUUACUACAUUGUUGGUUGUUAAUGAGAAGGUUCCACCAACCAAUUCUCAUACCCAAGUUAAUAUUACCCACAUCAAUAAUAUUUAACGGUGUUGAGAAUUCCUAAUAGUUUCAGUUCCUUUGGCUCAAAUUGUCCAUGACCGUGGACACGACUAAUCGAUUAGGUUUGAGUACUCUGUAGAGUUUUGCACACGUUCCGCACAAGAUUUGACCGCCUCCGUUAAAGUCCUCGCACUUCAGGGUGUUUGAGAACCGGAUGAUCAAAACAUGGUCUUUCAACGGGUUCCUCUGAGCCUCUGUCGGUGCCCAUCCAAUCCUACCGUUCUUCUACAUCUCGUAGCACCUCCCGUCUAGAGUCACCAUGUUGUGUGAUACGUCUCAAACAUAUCUAUAAUUUUUGAUGUUUUCACGCUGUUAUCUUGCCUUCUUUGUAUGUUUUAUGAACCUUUUUAUAUCUUUUUGGGACUAACUUAUUAAUUCAGUGCCAAGUGCCAGUUCCUGUUUUUUCCGUGUUUUUGACUCUUUUCAGAUCUGAUUUUGGAACGGAGUCCAAAUGGAAGAAAAACCCCGAAAUGAUAUUUUCCUGAACGGAAGAAGUCCAGGGGGCUUUUGGGCCAAGACAGGUGGGCUCCACGGAGCCCACAAGCCCCCACUCCGCCACCAGGGUGAGGCGGCGGUGGGUAGGCCNNNNNNNNNNNNNNNNNNNNNNNNNNNNNNNNNCCUGACCUAGGACUUUGGCCUAUAAAUUCCCAAAUAUUCCACAAAAAAUCAGGGGAGCCUCGAAAAUACUUUUCCGCCACCGCAAGCUUCCGUUUCCGCGAGAUCUCAUCUGGUAACCCUUCCCGGCACCCUAUCGGAGGGGACUUUGGAGUUGGAGGGCUUCUUCAUCAUCAUCAUCACCCCUCCAAUGACUCGUGACUAGUUCACUUCGGACCUACGGGUUCGUAGUUAGUAGCUAGAUGGCUUCUUCUCUCUCUUGGAUCUUCAAUACAAAGUUCUCCAUGAUCUUCAUGGACAUCUAUCCGAUAUAAUCUUCUUUGGCGGUGUGUUUGUCGAGAUCCAAUGAAUUGUGGACUUGUGAUCAGAUUAUCUAUGAUAUAUAUUUGAGUCUUUGCUGAUUUCUUAUAUGCAUGAUUUGAUAUCCUUGUAAGUAUCUCCGAGUCUUGGGUUUUGUUUGGCCAACUAGAUCUAUGAUUUUUGUAAUGGGAGAAGUGCUUGGUUUUGGGUUCUGCCAUGUGGUGACCUUUCCCAGUGAAAGUAGGGGCAGGAAGGCACACAUCAAGCAGUUGCCAUCACGGGUAAAAAGAUGGGUUUUCAUCAUUGGUUUGAGAUUAUCCCUCUACAUCAUGUCAUCUUGCUUAAGGCGUUACUCUGUUCUUAUGGACUUCAUACACUAGAUGCAUGCUGGAUAGCGGUCGACGUGUGGAGUAAUAGUAGUAGAUGCUGAAAGUAUCGGUCUACUUGUUUCCGACGUGAUGCCUAUAGAAAUAAUCAUUGCACAGAUAUCGUCAUGACUCUGCAUAGUUCUAUCAAUUGUUCGGCAGUAAUUUGUUCACCCACCGUCUACUCGCUUUCAUGAGAGAAGCCACUAGUAAACACUACGGCCCCCGGGUCUAUUCACAUCCAUCAUUUACAUCUCCGCUUUUACUUUGCUUUGUUACUUUGUCGCUUUCAGUUCUCACUUGGCAAACAAUCUAUAAGGGAUUGACAACCCCUUCAUAUUGUUGGGUGCAAGCUUUUGUGUUUGUGCAGGAUCUUGAGAUACUCUUCCGCCGGAUUGAUACCUUGGUUCUCAAACUGAGGGAAAUACUUACCGUCGCUGUGCUAUAUCACCCUUUCCGCUUCGAGGGAACACCAACAGAAGUCUCCAAGGCCAUGGGGGAAAUCCUUUGCAACUUGCCUAGGAAGUCCCUUAAGGCGUAGCCGUAGGUGAACGAUUCCUGGUGCCGUCGACACAACUAUUUCUGGCGCCGUUGCAAGGCAUACACAGUAAACAUCAGAAGUAUUUCUGGCGCCGUUGCCGGGGAGGAGAAAUCAAGAUCUAUCCAAGUAGGUCUCACAAACUCUUCUCUUGAAUUUACUUUUGUUGCCAGUUGCCUCUCGUUUUCCUCUUCCCUACUUCACAUUUGCCGUUUUCAUUCGCCUUUCUCCUUCGCCGUUUUCUUUUGCCCUUGCUGUUUUCCUUUGCUGGUUUUUUCUUGCUUGUGUGCUUGUUUGUUUGUUGAAGACAUCAUGUCUGAAAACACCAAACUUUGCGACUUCUCGAGCACUAAUAAUAAUGAUUUUAUUAGUACUCCGAUUGCUCCCGCCACUAGUGCGGAAUCGUAUGAAAUCAACGCAGCUUUGCUGAAUCUUGUUAUGAAAGAGCAAUUCUCUGGCCUUCCUAGUGAAGAUGCCGCAUCCCAUCUCAAUACCUUCAUUGAGCUUUGUGAUAUGCAAAAGAAAAUAGAUGUGGAUAAUGACGUGAUUAAGUUGAAACUUUUUCCUUUCUCAUUGCGAGAUCGCGCAAAAACUUGGUUUUCUUCUUUGCCUAAAAAUAGUAUCGAUUCUUGGGAUAAGUGCAAAGAUGCUUACAUAUCCAAGUAUUUUCCGCCGGUUAAGAUCAUCUCCUUACGUAACGAUAUCAUGAAUUUCAAGCAACUUGAUCAUGAACACGUUGCACAAUCUUGGGAGAGGAUGAAGCUUAUGAUUAGAAAUUGUCCUGCUCAUGGCUUGAGUUUGUGGAUGAUUAUACAAAUCUUUUACGUUGGCUUGAAUUUCGCUUCUCGCAGUAUCUUGGACUCCGCCUCAGGUGGAACAUUCAUGGAAAUCACGUUAGGAGAUGCUACAAAACUCCUAGACGAUAUCAUGACCAACUACUCUCAGUGGCACACUGAAAGGUCACUUGCUAGCAAAAAGGUGCACGCUAUAGAAGAGAUUAACUCGCUUAGUGCUAAGAUGGACGAGUUGAUGAAUUUGGUUGCUAGUAGAAACGCUACCGUAGAUCCUAAUGACAUGCCACUAUCUUCUUUGAUUGAGAGUAGCAACGCUAGUCUGGACGUGAAUUUUGUCAGUAGGAACAAUUUUGGCAACAAUAAUUCUUUUAGAGGAAACUAUGUUCCUAGGCCUUUUCCUAGUAACUCCUCUAACAAUUAUGGCAAUUCCUAUGGCAACAGUUAUGGAAAUCAUAACAAAUUACCCUUUGAUCUAGAGAGUAAUAUCAAAGAGUUCAUCAACUCUCAAAAGAUUUUCAGUGCGUCCAUAGAGGAAAAACUACUCAAAAUAGACGAUUUGGCUAAGAGCGUUGAUAGGAUGUCUUGUGAUAUUGAUGCUUUUAAAGUUAGAUGCGCUCCUCCCAAGAUCAACUUGGAUGAAACUUUUAAAGCUAUGUGUAUCUCCAUGAAUGAGAGCAAAAAAAGAACCGCCCAAAUUCGCGCUAGACAUGAAUGGUUUAAAAGGGUGCGUUCUAGUGAUGCAAAUCACGAAGAUCUUAAAGUGCUUGGUGUGUCUCCUUUUGAAUCUUUGUUUUCGUGUGUCAAACCUACUUACGGAGGGGUUGGAUAUGAAUCCACUUUGGUUGAAAAACAUCCCAUUGAUUCGGAUUCCACCUAUCUUGAUGAUAAAGGUGUGGAGAGUGGAGUAGAAGAAGUCAAAAUUUUGGGUAGUAAUGAAACUCCCACUUUGGAUUUCAAGGAAUUCAAUUAUGAUAAUUGCUCCUUGUUUGAAUGCAUUUCUUUGAUCCAAUCCAUUGCAAACUCUCCACAUGCUUAUAGCCAAAGCAAAGCCUUUACCGCGCAUAUCGUAGAUGCUAUGAUGAAAUCUCUUGAAGAGAAGCUCGAACUAGAAGUCUCUAUACCUAGAAAACUUCAUGAUGAGUGGGAACCUACUAUCAAAAUCAAGAUAAAAAACUAUGAGUGCAAUGCUUUGUGUGAUUUGGGGGCUAGUGUUUCCGCGAUUCCAAAGUCUUUAUGUGAUAUUCUUGGUUUUCAUGAGAUUGAAGAGUGUUCUCUUAAUUUGCAUCUUGCGGAUUCUACCGUCAAGAAGCCCAUGGGGAGGAUCGAUGAUGUUCUUAUUGUUGCAAAUAAGAACUAUUUACCCAUGGAUUUCAUUGUACUUGACAUAGAUUGCAAUCCUUCAUGUCCCAUUAUUCUUGGUAGACCUUUCCUAAGGACUAUUGGUGCUAUCAUCGAUAUGAAGGAAGGGAAUAUUAGAUUUCAAUUUCGCUUAAAUAAGGGCAUGGAGCACUUUCCUAGAAAGAAAAUAAGAUUGACUUAUGAAUCUAUGAUGAGGGUUCUUAUGGUUUGAGCACCAAAGAUGACUAUACGUGAUUCCAUCACUUUCGCCUAGCUAAGGGCGUUAAACAAAAGCACUUGUUGGGAGGCAACCCAAUGAAUCUAUCAUUUUUAUUUCUGUUUUGUGUUUUUCACACUUUCAUAAUUCUGUUAUGAUUGUGUUUUUUGUGUUUCUUUUUACGUUUGUGCCAAGAAAAACCGUUAUGAUUAGUCUUGAGGAUGAUCGUUUGGUCACGUUGGAAAAGACAGAAACUUUCUGCUCACAAAAAGAAUUUUCAUUUUUUUCUGUAAGAGCUUUUGAGUUGAUUCUUUUUGCUGCUGAUUGCUACACAAAGUCUUCAGACUGUCGUAAUUUUGCAGAAUUUUUGAAGUGCCAGAGGUAUAUGAAACAUACAGAUUUCUACAGACUAGAGUUGUGCCAUUGCUGUUUCUAUUAGAGGGCAAGGUACCUCUCGUAAGCCCAGGGAGAAGCCCUUGAAGAGGAUGGCGAGCCGGUCGCCGACUUUAAGAGCGGCAGAAUGGCACCAGUGUCGCAAAGCCUACUCGGCAAGCCCGAUCCUACCCCUACGUGAUGGUGUGUGCUCACUUGUAGAACAAUGUUCUUCUCCCAGGAUGACAAAAUCUUCAAAAAAUGAACUGAUCUUUGCAAGGUGAAAUAUUGAGUUUAUUGGAGUUUUUUUGCUCCAUGCAUUUCGUCCUAUUUUCAAAGAAAGAUCUAAAAAAUCCAACAAAAUAAAUUGUUAUCCUCACUUUUAGUAACAAAGCAAAAGAGCUCAAUGCCCAAUAUAUCCAACCGGUUCACAUGUACAAGUCAAAAUAAAGAUAUAUAUAUUUUUGCAUCAAAUAAAGAAAAUGAACAAUUCAUCAGUUUUUUGCAUGGUAUGAACAAUUCAUCUUUCUUUUUUGGUUCACGACACCAAAUAUUGACCGAUUCCUGCAACCGCUGUACACAACCUUUCACGUUGAUACUUGGACCCCUAUCCAUCGUUUACAUAUACAUGAAAAGAAUAUAAUUAAAAAGCCCAUACUAAAAGCCCACUAGUAUUCAGAUCCAGAUUAAUCUUGUCUCCUGAAACAGCUAAACUACCUUCUCUCAUCAUGAUUAGUUUCAACGUGGGUCAGAUUAGCCGCCGCCGCCGCCACCCAUCUACCUAUGAUCUGUGAAACAGUUGAACUACCUUCUCUCAUCGUGAUUAGUUUCAAUGUGGGUCCGACUAGCCACCGCCACCGCCGCCCAUCUGCCUCUGAUCUCCCUGCACUACCACUCACGAUUUGUUUCGAACGACGAGUCAGCGAUGCAACCUAUUUCAUUGCUUCAGCCAACGAAGUAGCAGGUAAUCUCUAUCAAUUCUCAUCUCUUACCAUUGUCGAAAUUAUACAUCAGAUUUUAGUUGUUCCGUUUGACUGAACUUUAGGCAUGGCUACGAAAUACAUGUCACUAUUGAGUUCCAAUGAUGAAUUAGCACAAGAUACACUAAAAACAAGAUUACUCUACUCUGAAAGUUGAGAUGCUAGAAAACAUCACCAGAAUAGUAGAACUUGUUGAAAUAUAUGUUCCAGGGACAAUACUUUAGUUACUUGAACAUCUUUCAAAGGGAAAUACAAGUUUUCUCAACUGAUACAAUACAGGGACAAUUACUUAAAGCAUAUAGCUUUUCUGCAAUGUCGUGAUC
rnacentral:lncRNA from 1 species